AAAUUUCCCAACAGGAUGGUAACACCUCAGGAUCCUCCAGGAAUGAGUUAGUGGACUUGGCCAAGGACAGGAAGUGUUUGUGCAGCUGCUGUCUUUCAUCACAACCCAGAUGUGGAUAAAUGGCUUCACAAAACAUCACUGCUGCAAGAUGCAACAAUGAGAAGUGUCGAUUAGGCUCAACCGUCAUGAGGUCAGUUGGAAAACAGCUCCCCUCACCCAGUACUAAAUACCUUCGGAUUUAGUAAAUGACAAAUGUGGGUCAUCAGGAAAAGUUUUAACAAAUAAACUUCAUGCAUUAUAUCUUCUUAAAUAUGCAUCUUGUGUCUAAACUACUGGUGUGGAUUUUACUGACGUUUUUCCAUGGUAGAAAACAAAAGUGAGCUCUGACAAGGAAAAAUCUCAAAUAUCUUGUAUUUGCUAACAUAACUGACAUGUCGAAAAAGAAAGCUCAAUCAUUCUUUGCAGUUAACCUGACACCAUCCCAUCUACCCCCCCCACACUACUCCCUACUGAACCAAUGAUUAACCCCAACACCCCAUUUAACCUGGAUUGGAUUUACUAAAUUACAGUAACACUUCCAGUUGCCCUUUACUUCACUGAGACAGUGGAGUAAAGGGCUAAAAUUAAAGACACCGUGGUUACAUAAAUUCAAGCCAUUGUUUCAUUUUAAACACACCUACCAUUUAUUUAUUUUAGCUAAACCAGGAUUGCCUUACACAAUAUGACCUGCAGAACACGUCUGCCACGACACAACCGGCAGGUGCCGUCAGUGAAAGACUUUUCAGACAGUCCAACUUCUCCCUCAAAAUAAAAUGAAAACUAUGGUAGCUGGCGCCCACAAGGGCGGCCGUGAAUGUCGGACGACAACUCGUAAAGACACGGGGGGGGGGGGGGAGAUAUGACACUAAGGAAACAAGUGGUAAAAACAGGCUUUAAAUAAAAUAAGUAAAACUAUCAAAAAAUUGCAGAUCAAUGAAACAGAGAUUAGCAAGAUUUUUUUUAAACCCACAUGCCAUAUUUAAUAAUAAUAAAAAAAAGUCAAUUUUAACUACAAUUUGUUGCACUUUGAUGACAUUAAUAGCAAACAAAAACAAAAGGUUAAAACUAAAGAAGUGGAGGCAGUUUUCCCGUUCUAAGAUACGAGUCACAGGGUAACUGGAAACAGUAAUUCUACUUCUACACACAAACGCCACGAAGCUUCACCCGGUGUUGCCCACAACAAAACGCCAACAUCUGAGGUAAAUGAAGGACAACCAUCAUCAGUUUCCAAAAAACAUCGCAGCUGAGGGUUUGUGAAGCUGCAGACUCGAAACCUCUGGGCCGGACCAGCCAACGUGUUACUGUACCUACAGGAAGUUUGUAUGGCAAAAAUAUGUAGCCUACUGCCUCCUACUGCUUUAUGACCGUUGAACCACAUUUCCAGAACACAGCUCACUGAUGUACAUAUUUAUCUUUAAUAAGACUUGGCCCACAACCCCCCCCCAUCACCUCCCAUAUUUUAGAUACUUGGAAAUACCAUGCAGCUACACAUUUAUUUACCCACUGACUGGGACGUGUGGACUACAUUUAUGUAAAACAUGUUCCAAAAAUUUUUUUAUUGUUUCAGUGAUGUGUAUUUCUUCCCACCUUUAUUCAUGACUGAGAAAAUGCUCAACUAUACUUGAUUUGAAAGUCCAGCACUUUUCUCCCCACACAGAUACUUGAAUCAGUGCAGGAUACCAGAAAAGUGUAAACU